UGCACACCUGUGGCCAUUUACCCAUUAACAGCGUGUGGUGUGCAGGUGAGGGGUUUGUUUUUAGCGUUUCUUCGGUUUGUAGUUAAUUGUGUGAAAUAUGUAGCUAAAAAGAUAAUACAGACCUGUAACCCCAGUAACAGGAUAAUACCCUCUACAGUGCAGCUUCCAGGAAAUACAAUCAUAGAGUUUCAGAGCUGGGGAGCAGAGCUUUCAGGACGAAUGGAGGAGAAGAAUUGAAAAUUUGAACAUCAUCUUCAUGUCCAGUCAUCAGCCCAAGCCCUUGCACUUCUUGCUGUACAUGGAUGGAGGAGGCGGAGCCUAAUGCUUGGGCAACCUGGAGUGACCAAUCAAGCGGCAACGUGGAGGAAAGAGUGAAAAGGCGAAAGAUCAGCAUCUGAAUGCAGCAAAAUUAAUAUUAAAGACAAACAGUGGAGCUUCACAUCGUGAACGAAAAGAAGCAGCUAUUGUUCAGCACCUCCAGAAACUCCUUCCUUCAAGAUGCUGAGAAAACUAUUCCAGGUGACU